rnacentral:rRNA from 1 species
GACAGAGGCCUCAAGCGUUAGGCGGAAUCACUGGGCUUAAAGCGUGUGUAGGCGGAUCGUUAAGUGUCUUGUGAAAUCCCACGGCUCACCCGUGGAACUGCUGGGCAUACUGGCGAUCUUGGGCCAACUAGGGGCAGCCGGAACAAGCGGUGGAGCGGUGAAAUGCGUAGAUAUCGCUUGGAACGCCAACGGUGAAAACAGGUUGCUGGGGGUGUGCUGACGCUGAGACACGAAAGCCAGGGGAGCGAACGGG